AGGCUAAUCAUAUUUUUCUGAUCAUGGUAUGCUGCAUGUUAAGAAAGGCUCAAAAUGUUUCAUGAUAGGCAAAAGACACAAGAGCCUCUAUUAUCUGGAGGCAACUACAAUUGUUGGUGAAUCUGGCAGAUUGGGGCAUCUUGGUGAAAAGGGUCUUAAUAAAAUGCUCAAACAAGGUUUGUUGCAACACCACCAGAAAUUUACUGUAAAGGCAUAUGAUGAAUGUGUUCUUGGAAAAAGAAAGAGGCUCCCAUUCCUAAACAGCCAGAUAAAAACAAAUGGACCUCUAGAAUAUGUGCAUAGUGACUUAUGGGGGUAAUCUAAAAAUGAGACAGUAGGAGGUGGAAAGUGGUAUCUCUCUCUUAUUGAUCACUAUUCCAGAAAGUUGUGGCUGUAUAUUCUAAAGGCAAAGUCUGACACCUUCCAAAAGUUUACUGAUUGGCACAAAGAGGUGGAGAAUCAUACUGGUCUAAAGCUAAAAUACCUCAUAACAAACAAUGGAUUGAAAUUUCUUUCUGAAGAGUUCCAAAGGUUUUGUGCAGAUAAAGGAAUAAUAAGGCAUAGAAUCGUACCGGCAAACCCACAGCAAAACGAAAUCAUUGAAAGGAUGAAUAGAGCUUGAAAGGAUAAGGUCUAUGUUUGCUACAAGUGGUAUUCCCAAAAGGUUCUGGGGUGAUGUAACUAUUACUGCAUGUUACUUGAUAAAUAGGAGUCCUUCAGCUGCCAUUGGUUUCAAAAGUUUAUGCAUAGCCUUCGCCAGUAUCAGCUUCCCCUGCACAAGUACAUAGCCAUGAUGGAACUCGAGGAGAGAACCGAGAGAUUGUUUUACAAGCUUCUCAUUGAUAAUGUAGAGAAGCUAUUCCCAGCUGUCUACACUCCGACAGUUGGUGAGGCAUGCCAAA